rnacentral:rRNA from 1 species
UUUUUCAGUAGUUUAAGACAUGCAAAUCGUUGUUUCCAAAGUCCUUAAUGAAUUAAUAUUUUUAAUAUUAAUGGGAUCAGGGGAUAAGGUGUAGAGGUGAGUAUGUUAAAUAAGAUACCCUAUAGUCUUCUUAGCUAGGAGAUAUAAAGUAAAGGAAAAUUUCUGCUAUAGGAUUCUAUUUAAUUUGAUUAGGUAGUUGAUAGGGUAACGGCCUACCAAGCCAACGAUCAAAAGUCAAGUUUGAAAGAACCUCUGGCCACAUUGGGGAUGAAAUCUCCCAAGUAGUAAUUACACUACCAGCAGUCGAGAAUAUUAGUCAAUGCUCGUAAGAGUGAACUAGCUAACUGAAAUCAUAGAAUUUCUUCAAAUUCAUGAUGUCGUAAGGGAAAAUAAUGAUAAUACCUUACUAUGAGUGUCGUCCAAAUCUGGUGCCAGAAGACUCGGUAAGACCAGAGACGCAAACGUUAAUCAUCAUAAACAGGCGUAAAGGGUUUGUAGGCAGCUUUUAUAAGAUAAUAAAAAUCUAAAUUGAAAGCUAGAAUCAAAAAGAGGUUAUAGUGUAUAACGCCUAGAGGAGGGCUGAUAUCCAUAGAUCCUAGGCAGAAUACUCAGGGCGAAGGCCACUCUCCACUAAUGAUUGACGCUGAGAAACGAAGGUUAGGGUAGGAAAUAGGAU